rnacentral:rRNA from 1 species
AUUGAACGCUGGCGGCAGGCUUAACACAUGCAAGUCGAGCGAGUGGCGGACGGGUGAGUAAUGAUUGUGAAUCCAGCUUAUGGAGGGGGUUAACUACGGGAAACUGUAGCUAAAACCGCGUACCUGAGGCUGAGCCCAAGUUGGGUUAGGUAGUUGGUGAGGUAAAGGCUCACCAAGCAGCCGAUCUCUAGCUGGUCUGAGAGGAUGACCAGCCACACUGGGACUGAGACACGGCCCAGACUCCUACGGGAGGCAGCAGUGGGGAAUAUGGCGCAAUGGGCGAAACCUGACGCAGCCAUGCCGCGUGAAUGAAGAAGGCCUUCGGGUUGUAAAGUUCUUUCGGUAGCGAGGCGUUAACUACAGAAGAAGCACCGGCUAACUCCGUGCCAGCAGCCGCGGUAAUAC